rnacentral:tRNA from 1 species
GCACCGUUGGUCCAGUGGUAGGACAUUAGCUUCCCAACCUAAUAGCCCGUAGGUUCAAUCGGCUACUGGUGCG